UACUACAGCCAUGCCACCCUGAACACACCCGAUCUCAUCUGAUCUCGGAAGCUAAGUAGGGUCAGGCCUGGUUAGUACUUGGUUGGGAGACCAUCUAGGAAGACCGGGUGCUGUAGGCA
rnacentral:rRNA from 1 species